rnacentral:SRP_RNA from 1 species
GCUGGGCACGGUGGUGCAUGACUGUAGUCCCAGCUACACGGGAGGCUGAGGCUGGAGGAUCGCUUGAGUUCAAGAGUUUUGGGCUGUAGUGCACUAUGCCAAUUGGGUGUCUACACCAAGUUGGGCAUCAAUAUGGUGACCUCCCAGGAGUGGGGGACCACCAGGUUGCCUAAGGAGGGGUGAACUGGCCCAGGUCAGAAAAGAAGCAGGUCAAAACUCCCAUGCUGAUCAGUAGUGGGAUCAUGCCUGUGAAUAACCACUGCACUCCAGCCUGGGCAACAUAGCGAGACCUUGUCUCUA